UGAUAGAGGAAACCCUUUUUUGUUUGCAACACAAAAAAUAUUCUAUCAA
rnacentral:tRNA from 2 species